rnacentral:rRNA from 1 species
AUACGGAGGGUGCAAGCGUUGUUCGGAAUUACUGGGCGUAAAGCGCGCGUAGGCGGUCUGUUAUGUCAGAUGUGAAAGUCCUCGGCUCAACCGGGGAAGUGCAUUUGAAACUGGCAGACUUGAGUACUGGAGGGGGUGGUGGAAUUCCCGGUGUAGAGGUGAAAUUCGUAGAUAUCGGGAGGAAUACCGGUGGCGAAGGCGACCACCUGGACAAAUACUGACGCUGAGGAACGAAAGCGUGGGGAGCAAACAGGAUUAGAUACCCCGGUAGUCC